AUUGAACGCUGGCGGCAUGCUUUACACAUGCAAGUCGAACGGUAACAGGGUGCUUGCACCGCUGACGAGUGGCGAACGGGUGAGUAAUGCGUCGGAACGUGCCGAGUAGUGGGGGAUAACGCAGCGAAAGUUGUGCUAAUACCGCAUACGUACUGAGGUAGAAAGUGGGGGACCUUCGGGCCUCACGCUAUUCGAGCGGCCGACGUCUGAUUAGCUAGUAGGUGAGGUAAAGGCUCACCUAGGCGACGAUCAGUAGCGGCUCUGGGAGGAUGAUCCGCCACACUGGGACUGAGACACGGCCCAGACUCCUACGGGAGGCAGCAGUGGGGAAUUUUGGACAAUGGGCGAAAGCCUGAUCCAGCCAUGCCGCGUGUCUGAAGAAGGCCUUCGGGUUGUAAAGGACUUUUGUCAGGGAGGAAAUCCCUAGUGCUAAUAACACUGGGGGAUGACAGUACCUGAAGAAUAAGCACCGGCUAACUACGUGCCAGCCGCCGCAGUAA
rnacentral:rRNA from 1 species